AAUGGAUGAAAUAUGAAGUUUUAUUAAAAGAAAAAGAGAUGAAAAGAACAAAGUUUUGUCCAUCUUUGUUCAUCAUAGCUGAAAGUUAGAGAAGAGAAAGGAGAGGAGAAAGCUCUUGAGUAUUCGGUCAUUAGGAGGAGGAAAAUUGAAGGCGGUUCGUGUGUGGAUCUCGUCAGCAUAUCGUCGCAAACAGGAAAUCCCCAACCAUAGUGGGCUUGGAGCUGUGAGGGAAUUCGGAGUGGCCACCCGUUCUGAAAGUUUGAUUUUCUUCUGGUGAACUGGACAUCCUUUUAAUUACGUUUGAGGUUUUGGGCUUUUAAAUGUAAUAAGGCCGCUUAUUUA